GACGAACGCUGGCGGCGUGCUUAACACAUGCAAGUCGAACGGAAAGGCCCUUCGGGGUGCUCGAGUGGCGAACGGGUGAGUAACACGUGGGUGAUCUGCCCUGCACUUUGGGAUAAGCCUGGGAAACUGGGUCUAAUACCGGAUAGGACUACGGCCUGCAUGGGUUGUGGUGGAAAGCUUUUGCGGUGUGGGAUGAGCCCGCGGCCUAUCAGCUUGUUGGUGGGGUGAUGGCCUACCAAGGCUUCGACGGGUAGCCGGCCUGAGAGGGUGUCCGGCCACACUGGGAGUGAGAUACGGUCCGGACUUCUACGGGAGGCAGCAGUGGGGAAUAUUGGACAAUGGGGGCAACCCUGCUCCAGCCAUGCCGCGUGUGUGAAGAAGGCCUUCGGGUUGUAAAGCACUUUAAGUGGGGAGAAAGGUUCGGCAGUUAAUACCUGCCGGAAGUGAUGUUACCCACAGAAUAAGCACCGGCUAACUCUGUGCCAGCCGCCGCAGUAA
rnacentral:rRNA from 1 species